AGAGUUUGAUCAUGGCUCAGAUUGAACGCUGGCGGAAUGCUUUACACAUGCAAGUCGAACGGCAGCACGGACUUCGGUCUGGUGGCGAGUGGCGAACGGGUGAGUAACAUAUCGGAACGUAUCCAAUAAUGGGGGAUAACUAAUCGAAAGGUUGGCUAAUACCGCAUACGCCCUACGGGGGAAAGCAGGGGAUCUUCGGACCUUGCGUUAAUGGAGCGGCCGAUAUCUGAUUAGCUAGUUGGUGGGGUAAAGGCCCACCAAGGCGACGAUCAGUAGCUGGUCUGAGAGGACGACCAGCCACACUGGAACUGAGACACGGUCCAGACUCCUACGGGAGGCAGCAGUGGGGAAUUUUGGACAAUGGGCGCAAGCCUGAUCCAGCCAUUCCGCGUGAGUGAAGAAGGCCUUCGGGUUGUAAAGCUCUUUCGCAAGGGAAGAAACGUUACCGGUGAAUAUCCGGUGAUAAUGACGGUACCUUGAUAAGAAGCACCGGCUAACUACGUGCCAGCAGCCGCGGUAAUACGUAGGGUGCGAGCGUUAAUCGGAAUUACUGGGCGUAAAGCGUGCGCAGGCGGUUAUGCAAGACAGAUGUGAAAUCCCCGGGCUCAACCUGGGAACUGCAUUUGUGACUGCAUAGCUAGAGUACGGUAGAGGGGGAUGGAAUUCCGCGUGUAGCAGUGAAAUGCGUAGAUAUGCGGAGGAACACCGAUGGCGAAGGCAAUCCCCUGGACCUGUACUGACGCUCAUGCACGAAAGCGUGGGGAGCAAACAGGAUUAGAUACCCUGGUAGUCCACGCCCUAAACGAUGUCAACUGGUUGUUGGACGGCUUGCUGUUCAGUAACGAAGCUAGCGCGUGAAGUUGACCGCCUGGGGAGUACGGCCGCAAGGUUGAAACUCAAAGGAAUUGACGGGGACCCGCACAAGCGGUGGAUGAUGUGGUUUAAUUCGAUGCAACGCGAAAAACCUUACCUACCCUUGACAUGUCUGGAAUCCUGGAGAGAUCUGGGAGUGCUCGAAAGAGAACCAGAACACAGGUGCUGCAUGGCCGUCGUCAGCUCGUGUCGUGAGAUGUUGGGUUAAGUCCCGCAACGAGCGCAACCCUUGUCAUUAGUUGCUACGAAAGGGCACUCUAAUGAGACUGCCGGUGACAAACCGGAGGAAGGUGGGGAUGACGUCAGGUCCUCAUGGCCCUUAUGGGUAGGGCUACACACGUCAUACAAUGGCCGGUACAGAGGGUUGCCAACCCGCGAGGGGGAGCCAAUCCCAGAAAACCGGUCGUAGUCCGGAUCGCAGUCUGCAACUCGACUGCGUGAAGUCGGAAUCGCUAGUAAUCGCGGAUCAGCUUGCCGCGGUGAAUACGUUCCCGGGUCUUGUACACACCGCCCGUCACACCAUGGGAGCGGGUUCUGCCAGAAGUAGUUAGCCUAACCGCAAGGAGGGCGAUUACCACGGCAGGGUUCGUGACUGGGGUGAAGUCGUAACAAGGUAGCCGUAUCGGAAGGUGCGGAUGGAUCACCUCCUU
rnacentral:rRNA from 1 species